rnacentral:lncRNA from 10 species
AGGAGGAGCAGAAGUGGUGACAUUGUCAUGGGACCUGAGAUCUCUUGGAGGAGAAAUGGAUAUCUACAGAAUGCAGCAGGAGUGAUGUGGAAUGUCAGAGGUGAGGUCGGCAGAGACCCUGCAGUUUUUUUUUGAGUUUCCUUGGAACACUGGCUCUGAGGCCAAUCAGCAGCCAUGGAGAAAGUAUGAUGCCCAGAACCCACCAUCCCACAACAAACCCAGACCACCUGGAGGACCCCUGGAGGAUGAGAUACCAAACAGCAAUGAGUCACUAGACCUGUAAUAAAUCCCUCAUCUGCAAGUAGAUUCUCCAGUUCUGACUGCUCUCUGAUGUUCAAAGUCCUCUUCUGCUUACUCUGAUCUGAGCCUAUAUACUGAAUAACUGAGACAGCCAGAAAUCACACUGCUGGA